UCUAUGUCAAAACAGUCUAUCCUUGACAACUGAGUAACACAAAAGAGUCCAUGACCUGGAUAAAAUCCAAUUCCCAAAUCAGCUCUGUCGAAACCCUAGCUGACCGUUGUCCUUGCGGCUCGCAAUCCUAAGAUGUUGUAAUCCUCGCCAUUUAUAUCCCAUCCGGGUUGGGUACAUUCCUGGACCCAAAUGUAUUGCUCUUUCAGUUUCAGCUUCGGUUUCAAUCUAGGUAUUGCAAUUUUGGGGGUAAAUAUAUAUAUAUAUAUAUAUUUUGUAGGAAUCGAGAAUGUGGAAAAAUUCCCAUUAAUUAUAAUUUUAGAAUUGUUUUAUUGCAAUUUUCUACAUUGUAUAGAGACAGGCACAAAACAUUCUGUAAUAGUAAACUUACAUGGCUCCUUCUCUUCAGGAAACAAUCAUUUUCUUUCUUUUGUUUCAUCUCAGUUUUGUAUUAUUAAACUUUCACAUUUUUGUCUAAAUAAAAUGUAUGUAGUUAUUUAGUUACUUAAUAGUGCUUAUAUUUGAUGCACAGGGUGUAAAGCUGAAAAAGGAAAGGGAGACAAUACAGUUUGUAAUUUCAAAGAAGAUAAAAUGGACAUGAAAAAGCAAAUGUAGUUGUAAGCAAUUGACUAGAAAACUAAAUUUGUUUUAAGUUUUAGAGGUGAUCACCAAUGUCAAUUUGAACAACUAGAAUUAGAUCUAUAAUCUCUUACCAAGACCACAACUUUUGCUUUAAUGCAAGAUGAGUCAGUUUUUUUUUUUGGGGGGGGGGCUUAAGAUGAAAUUGCUUCUUGCAUUAGCUGCCAUGUAAUUCAGGGGAAGAUGAGGUGGUUCUAAAUAGUAUUUUCCCUGUAUGAGUCCUCAAACAUUCCAUGUGUUAUUUCUCCUGAGUGGUGGUACUAAAUAUUAAUACCAACAAAAUUUAUGCGUGGGUCGAUGUAUUAUCUUGUGCGGGAUAGAAUAUGGAAAAAGAAUAAUGUAUUAGCGAUACUUGGAUAAGAGUAUCUAGAAGCAUAAAUAAUGCUUUUAAAGUAGGCAAUCCCUGCAUAACAAUCAAUGUAGUAUUAUUCACCUCAUAACAAUCUCGACAUUGUCAUUCACCGCAUAAAAAUCCUUUAUCAUGAUCCCUGCAUAAACUAGUAUGUGAACCAAAUGAACUCUCAAUGUAUGAAUUGUGUAUGCCUAUCCUAUUUCCUAUACGAAGACCUUGAGGACAUGCAACAAGUGGCAGUAAAGGUGACAUGUUUCUUGGACGGAUGUCUCUCUAACUCUUUUAAACCAAGUAUUAUCAUAUUUAUAUUAGGAAUUAUUCUUUUCAUGAGAAUUGCUAUGUAUGCCAAAAAUGUGGUGGUCGGACUUUGUUAUGGUCUUAUCUAUCUUUAUCACAAACCAAGUGCAAUGACUGCUUACGCUUUGAGGAGAUAUCGACAUAUCGCAGUGUCAACCAGGUUGCACUCUUUGCUUGUUCUCUUGUCUGAGCCUAUUGUUUGUGAUUUUUUUACCCUUCAGUGGUGGUAUUAUUUGCUAUAGGGUGUAAAUAGGUAAUCUAUUGAUCUAUUUUCUUGUGAAUUUGUACUCCUGAUGUUAAGCCAAAUUUACGAUAAUGGUAGCUGGUAGUUUCCAUUCAUUACAUUUGAAAUCGUUAAUGACCGUCAACUUAGCUUGUAGAGUCACAUUAAUUAGGCACUUGUAUGAUAGUUAAAAGUAUAUUAAUUCAACCAAAAUCAAUCUAGGAGGCUGCUAUAAUCUGUCAAUCUUAAACAAGAAUAGAGAGAGUCACCUUUCUAGAGAUCACACACUUUAUAUCGUGAUUUUGGUGUCACAAGUAGUAUUGGAAAGAUGUAGUUUUAGAUGUAGAAAUAAAUGGUAGUUUAAUAAUUCAGCAAUGUACGUGCAGUUGUAAAGAAGGAAGAUAUGACCGUAUCUGCAUGCUACUUUGUCCCACAUCGUCUCAAAAGCAAGAAUUAAUUCCUUCGUUAUACCUAUUUAGCGGUCUCUAAUUAUGAACUUCUACACAUAGCUAUUGGGCCCGCUUAAGUGCGGGCCCUUGAUGGCUCACAUCACCUUGUAGUAAGGUCCCUUCCAAGAGUUGCAGUAUGCUGGAAAUCUUGUCUGUGAGUUUGCUGGCACCUAUGGAUUCAGGUAAUGUAACUUCUCCUUCAAGCCCUUCUUCCUUUAAUUUGUUUUGUCCUUUUCAGAUUUUUCUUUUCUCUGAUUUUUGUGAUUAUUAUUUAUCUUUAACUUUAUAUUCUUGGUGUUUGCCUGUAAGUUUCCGUUCAUUCUGUCUCUUUUCUUAACUAUGGGCCUCAUGUUUUUCCAUUUUCUCUGUUAUUCUUUUUUUUAUGUUGAAAUAAAUUUGGAAAGAAAGAUAAGUCUAAGCUUUAACACAUAUGAAGCUGCUUGUUCUUUUUUUCCAUUCUUGUGCAUCUAUGUUGAAGUCUUCAUUCUCUCUUUCUAGUCUGGCUUUUAAACCUCUGUUGAAAGCUUCAUCUGAACAAGAACAGAAAAGGCAUGCACUGACUAAUUUUUCGGUUUUGUUAACCCAAAUAUUGGGAACUUUCACUCGUUUCCCUCUUAAUCUGUGUUUCUCCUGAAUGGUUUGGAUAGAGAACGGGUUUUGAAUGUAUAUGCUCCCGAAUGGUGAUUUGAAACGAGUGGACUCUUGCUUCAUGUAAUGAAAAUCUUAGAUAAGACCUCUAAGUUAAUCAAAUAUAUAGUUCUAAAAUUUUCUUAUGGGAUGUUUAAUGAUAGUUGACAUUUUUAAACACAAGCCAUAGAUAGCAAAAACCACAUGCUUUAUACUACUAAGUGACAACUGGGUGUCUGGCUUCUUAUUUGCCAAAUCAUCUGUCUUUUCCUGUUAUAAAGAAAUUAAACUAGCUUUACCCCAUAUUAAUAACAUCUAAAUUUUUCUAUCCUUCAAAGAUGAAGUGGUUCAGGGUGAUUGGCUGAAAUUCAGUUUGGUUAACUCUAAUACCAAAAGAAACUCAUCCUCCUGGAUAUGAGCAGUGAUUCGUCAUUAUUUUUUUGAUUUGUCAUAUCUGCUAACCUUAAGUGUCUGAUGACUCUUAAAUGUGGACUUUGGCGCAUUUGUCCUUAGUUUCCUUCAGCAUACUCAUUCUGCCCUGGAAUGGUAUGGAAGUUGUUGCAGCAGCCUCUUCACAAAAUUCUGUAUGCACACUCCUUGAUGACAAUGCAUGGUAAUGUGUGACAAUGUGUGGUUACAGUAUUGGCAACCAACAUGUCUCUGAUUCGAAAUAAAAUUGUCUAUAAUUUUAUUAAUGAACUCGUUAUACAACAAGUAUACCAAAAAGUAGAGAAUCCAUACAAUCUGGAAUCUCGUGGAUGCACUAAAAAGUUACAUCUCUUCUUCCUUCUCCCCUAUGCUUAGCUAUCUUAACUCUCUUAUUGUGCCUGGCAUCGUUCACUGUACUCCGAACCAAUUCAGUACUCUCACCACAGCUGUGUUUCCACUUUGCAAUGUAACAGGAGGUAGCCCACAUUCACAACUGAGCAUUUGCACAUGAAGCACCAGCUGACAGCUAACAUAUGUAAUUCUGCGCUUUCUCAUUUUCUCGGCUGUCAGCACUGCAUCCGAGUUUCAAGCACCAAUCUGAUAAACACACCUUUCUUGGAGAUUGAAACAAGACAAAAGUUGGCUACUGGCGCAGAAUGAAGCAAACACCAAGCUGAUAAACACACCUUUCUAAAUGUAGAAUGCUGCAUUAGAUUGUUAAGGUGUACGUUAAAAAAUUGUUUGGGUCAUUUUUUUUUUUGGUAACUCAUUUUCUUUUCUUGUUUGGAGAUUGAAGCAAAGACAAAAAUUGGCUAAUGGCGCAGUAUGCCUGCAUGUUGUAUACUUCUUUUGCUGAUUUGGCAUAUCUGUUGAAGUUUUUCUUUUUGGUAAAUAUCUGUUGAAGUUUUCUUAUGUAUGGAUACUGCAGGUGACUGUGAUACGACUAGGAAUAAAAAAUACAUAAAAAGAUGAUGAAGUUCAACCAUAAAUUUCCUCUAUUUAUAAGGGAAAAAGCUAGUUAUGUCAAGUCUUGCGGGUUAAUGAGCAAACGCCUGAGCUAAUUUGCCCGUCAGUUUGCCAUAUUAUCAAACCGAUAUACUCCAUUUGACUGGGCAGGGAGUUUAAGAAAAGAGAGAAGACUUUUGAACUUGUGGUGUAAAAUGAGGCACAUAUAUUUUGUGUGGCUAUAAAUCAUUGCAUAAAGGUAAAUUAUUUCCAAAUAAGGAAAGAGGUCAUUCUUUUUGGCACAGACUUAAAAGGAAAUAAGUUCAAAUAAAUUGAAACGGAGAGAGUAGAUCCUUCGUAUGUUUCUGUGAUGUUAGCGUAGUAAUACAAAAUUUGAGGUUUUGGAACUGUUCUACUUUUAUGGCUCA
rnacentral:lncRNA from 1 species